UUUUUUCUGUUUCAGAUUGGAAAUGGUUGUUUUGAGCUUAUCACUAAAAUUGUUCAGUCAAAGGUACUGUAUGUUGUAUAUGAUGAUUGUCAAGCUUUAAUUUAAAGAGUUGUUGUUUUAAAUGUGCUGUUUUUACAUUCUAGGGGAUAAGCAUUUACAUAGAAAAUCUGUAUGUCACCCGGACUUGGCUUGCACCCUAUGGCUGUGAUCCAUUGCAGUCCUUUCCUACUGAUGCUCAGAGGAUGGAUAUCAUUGUUCUCCCUCUCUGGACACCUGGUCAUUUCCAGUUGUGUGAAUCUUGCAGUGAAGAUCAUUCCCGGGCAGUGGUCAGAAAAAAAGAGCUUUGACUUGAAGGGUUUUCCAAGCCAAGACUAUGGAGAUGACUGUGGGAUCUUCAUGCUGAUGUCUGCUCUGUACGUGGCACUGGAUGCACCAUUUGACUAUACUAUAUCAGACAUGCCCUACUUGCGUAAAUGGUGGUGCUUGCUGUUGAUGGAGAACUUUGAUCUCAGGAGCUCUGGCAAGCUAUUUGCACACUGGAGAGAGGAAGCCAAAGCUGUGCUUGAAGGACAACACGUGCCCAUUUUCAGACUGAAAAAGCGCAAGUUCCAGGAAGUCAGUCAGGAGCCAGCAGUUGUUGAAGAUCUGCGUCCUGCUGUGCAGUGGGUUGUCCAAAAUAAGGCACUUUUCCGUGGACACGUAACAAUGCCAAAAUAUCUGUCCUUAAAUCAAGGGGACCAGCAGAGGGUCUUAAGAGACAUGUCAGAGGAAGAAGACACUGGAGCAAGGCACUUGUUCCUCUUUGUUUUUCAGUUUGCAGAAGACAUGGAGCUCUUUUUGAAAGCAUGUGCUGAUGAGC
ensembl:lncRNA